GACGAACGCUGGCGGCGUGCUUAACACAUGCAAGUCGAACGGAAAUGCCCUGCUUUUGUGGGGUGCUCGAGUGGCGAACGGGUGAGUAACACGUGAGUAACCUCCCCUUGACUUUGGGAUAACUUCAGGAAACUGGGGCUAAUACCGGAUAGGAGCUCCUGCUGCAUGGUGGGGUUGGAAAGUUUCGGCGGUUGGGGAUGGACUCGCGGCUUAUCAGCUUGUUGGUGGGGUAGUGGCUUACCAAGUCUUUGACGGGUAGACGGCCUGAGAGGGUGACCGGCCACAUUGCGACUGAGCUGCGGCCCAGACUCAUACGGGAGGCAGCAGUGGGGAAUAUUGCACAAUGGACGGAAGCCUGAUGCAGCAACGCCGCGUGCGGGAUGACGGCCUUCGGGUUGUAAACCGCUUUCGCCUGUGACGAAGCGUGAGUGACGGUAAUGGGUAAAGAAGCACCGGCUAACUACGUG
rnacentral:rRNA from 1 species